CAGCUUUUACUGGAUGGGAUGUUACGGGUGGAGAAAAACAAGUGAACUUUUGUCCAUAUAUGUCCUCCUUGGGGGUGUCUGAAAGCUGUCGUGUUUUCUCUGCCUAUAUCUGCUGGUCCAAUAAAAGCUAUUAUUGGCCCCUCCAAGCCUUGCCGUGGGAGCCAAAGGGCAGCUUGAAAACCAAACCAAAGCAGAAAACCAAUGUGUAACUGCCUGUAACCAGAGACAAUAUUCUCCUAGCCCAGUUCUUUACAGCAAAGUGGGAUAAACGCUGACAUAUUUCCCGCAGCUGAAUUCAGCUUUUGGCACCAAAAUGUGGUAAAGCAAAGAGCACCUUAUAGUGUCUAUGACUGGUAUUGCUAAGGCUGGUCUUCUCGGCACUGCUUGACCGAGCACACAGCAGCACGUUGCAAAGCGCUGCUUCCAAGGGAGAGCAGAGGAGUGCCUCCAGACCACAGCUCCGGGGUGUAUAUUUGGCUGGCAGCGAUGUCACCUUCUGCUGUUCCUAGGCAGACUUGGGGGCAUCUCGGCCGGAGGAAGAAAGGAGGAAGGAGACCAGAAACGAGAGACGCAGGAGGCAUCCAGACAGAUAGAGUCCAGCUCGGUAGGGCUAAGAUCUUCUUGGCUCGGCGGAUGCCUGAGCCGCCAGGGGAUGAGGGAAGGUAACCAGAGAUGCCCUUACCACCAGCAGUUAAUCAGCAGUUCACAGGAUCAAGAGCAGCUGCAUGCAACUUACACAAGGGAAGCUCAGCCUGAAGUGCACCCUGAAACCAUUGCUCCCAUUUCUGCCCAGGAUUCAGCAGCACCAUUAAGGAAUGCCUAUUUCAAAGCCCUCUGAAGUCCUCUGAAAUGUUUCCUACCUACUUGCUUAGAACAAUGUUGGUUGUGGAUCCAUCCCGAAGGACUGUAUCUAAGCCAUUUUCUUUAACUGCUAGUCUGUGGCAGGCCUGUACAAGCUUUUAGUAAUACGGUGCUUUUUAAGAGCAAUUCUCUCUGAUGGAGAAGGGUUAUGGUAAAACUGCUUCGUGCUCCUAAAAUUGUCUUCAUUAUAUUACUCAUACUCUUUAAAAUAUCAUACCUAUUUAUUUUUCUGCUCCUUUUUUGAGUGCUUGACUGUGCUGGCACGGGCUGUUCCCUCUGUAGUGGAAAUUAAGAGACAUAACCAGCCCCGUGCCUUGGGAGCCAGCAACUGAGCCAUGCCUCAAGUAGGAGCUGCUGGAGUGGGAGGUGUCGGUCAUGCCAAGAGCCACCAGCCAGGAGGCUGUUGUGGGUCGACAUCUGGUACCACUGCACGGAACUAGGGGAUAGGAAAGCCAGGGGUUUGUGUGCAUUGUCUCUUUCCUUUUAUCUUCUUUCUUUUGUUUUCAAUUUCAUUGCACAGAGCGCAUGAGGCAUCAGAAACAAAGCAAGGAAAUAAAUCAAAAGCAACAACAAAACA
rnacentral:lncRNA from 1 species